rnacentral:lncRNA from 1 species
AGGAAUUAGAAGUGCAAAUUAGUAAAAAUUAUUUCAAGAAGACGAAAGUAGAUACCCGAAGAGGACCGGUUAUGAACCUAGAUCGAAAUCAGACCCUGAGGCACAAAAAUGUGCUCUGACGGCGACUCAAGGAUUCUUUGAUAGUUCGAAGAGUGGGGUUUGAUAGAAGAUUAAAUAAGGUUUCUAUGAGUAUUGAUUUUGGGUGAUUUGGAUCUGUAUUGACUUUGUAAUAGCUUUGCAAAGUCAAGAUUUGUUUCGGAUGAUUUGGAUUUUAUGAAAUAAAAUAGGAUUUAUGUUUUGGAUGAUUUCAAGAGUUUUGUAAUAGAUCUACCAGUGGAAUUUUGUGGAUUUAUGGUUAUAGUUGUGUUUAAUAUGAAUCGUGAAUUUGAGCUCGAUCUAACGGUUGAAUUGAGGGAUAUUGAGGUUUAAGAGGAUCAAGGUCUUAGAAAGUAGAAUUUUAGGUCUAGUAGGGUUUUUUAAGAUUUCGUGCAAUCUACUAGUUGG